rnacentral:lncRNA from 1 species
UUUUAGGAAGCAGAAAACGAGAUGAGAGGAAAGCAGAAAACGAUUAACAGCAAAGCUGCGAGGAGCGUGAGACAGCACCCACCCACACCCCACGGCAGCCCACAUUCACCUCUUAAGUCACCCCCGGACAUUUGUCAAAACUAGGACAGCGGCAUCGCCACACACUAUGAAGCAAACUACACACCCUCUGGGAUUUCACCAACGUUUUCCCCCACGAAUGUCCCUUCUGUCAUCCAGGGUCCAGUCCAGGACGCCAAACUGCUCUCGGCAUGGAUGUAUUUUUAGCAGAAAAAGGCGCGUGAAGAAACAUGUCCGAGGGAGUAAGUGCCGCGAGGCGUGCGGGCAGCCUGCACCUGGAAGAACAGGGUGGGAGGCACCAAGUUCUGCAGCUUGGUCUCUGCGGCCACUGUGCCAUCUGUUUAUUUUGAACCUACUGUUUACACAAAGGAACGAGUGGGACCUGGGGUGGGGUGGGGACA